UCCUUUUAUUCACCUACUUAGUAAGUUAAAAAGAAAACAUGUUUUGGAGAACCUGGACUUGGAAGGCAAACCAGACUAAGUUCACAUCCUAGAAGCACUACUAAGUGUGUGAGGUUAGUGCCAGAAGGAAGCUCAGCGAACUUCAGCUUCCUCAUCGGGAGUGAUGAACCGGACAACCUGCUGCCCAGCUGAUAGGAGUUGAUGAGAUUUGCAGGUGUAGACAGCUCAGAACGCAGCCUUGCUGCUGUUCUUCAGCCCACUAUAUCUUGAUCAAAGCAGGUAUCAACCAAAAAAGAAAGGUCAUAAGAUUCAAGUGUUAACAAACAUUACAGAGAAAAGGUGGAGUGAACGCCUCUUAUCUAAGGUUUGAAACCCUAAACAACGGGGUAGCUUCAGGCCAAUCGGAGAGUUGACUUUGGUAAUGACAAUGUUGAACUGUCCAGCAAAUGGCUAAAAUACAUUUCCUAUACUCUGUUAUAAGCAAAUGUAUAAUGCAAUGGAAAUAUUUCAUAGUUAAAGCAAUCAAAAGGUUCUGUUACAGGAUAAAUUACAGUUAUCUGCAAAAUUCACGAUAUUGGAACAGGCCUUCAAGACCGUGGAAUUAGAAUCCAUUUUAAAUACCUGCUCACAAAGAAGACCCUAAUGUCAGAAGGCUAAAAACAUGCUAAUGGCUGCUGCUGUCUAAUCGAAGGUUGAUAAACAAUUAUUCAUAGGAACCCAUUAUUCAUAUUCAUGGAACAAUUAUUCAUAUUCACGGGAGCCUCACUCCAGUGGGGCCACCAUUCAAGUUUUCCUUGGUAUAAUGGAGAAAUAAAACGGGCUUGAGGCCUAGGUAUCAUUAUGCACAUUUCUGUUUUGUUUGAGACAAAACUAAACGGGCUAUCUGGAAAACCAGCAACAUUUCACGGGCUCUGCUGAUUCUCGCUCAGCACGCUGCCGCAUGCAGUUACAGUUUAACUGAUAACGACUAGACUGUUUUCAUCUUGCCCCCAACUGCUCCGGCUUUUCUGCCUCCUUCUGCAUCCUUCUUCUGCACGCAGGCGAAUUCUGGAGGAGGCAUCACAUCUUAAAAUUGGCUUUUCACAGAGCCGCACAGCUGCUCUGAGAGCCCUGAUGGAAGCAGUUAGAACCUCAGCGGCAACUCUGCUGUCCACCCGGGCAGAGCCACUGGCUCGGAUCCAGCGGAGGAGACACUGGCUGUGGCCCAACCUUGGCCGAGAGAGAGCUGGCGCGGGAGGGGAGCGAGCCCUCUGGACUUCUCCCUUAUUGUCAAGGGUGCUGCGUGCUCAGUUGACCCUUGGGUACAAAGUGGAGAGAAAGCGGUCCCCUCUGCUCUGCCUUUUCAGUGACGUUUCCCCAAAGGCCACCAGGGGGCAGAAGAAGCCUCUUUGCCUUUUUUUUUUUCCAGCCUCUUAUAUUGGUCCAUUGGGCCAAUGUUUUGAUAUAAAACAUUUUGACAUAAUUAUAUUUAUAUCAAAUAAAUGUAUGAAUUCUA